UACAGAGGGUGCGAGCAUUGUUCGGAAUUAUUGGGCGUAAAGGGCGCGUAGGCGGUGCGGUAAGUCACCUGUGAAAUCUCCUGGCUCAACUGGGAGCUUGCAGGCGAAACUGCCGUGCUGGAGUGUGGGAGAGGUGCGUGGAGUUCCUGGUGUAGCGGUGAAAUGCGUAGAUAUCAGGAGGAACACCUGUGGCGAAAGCGGCGCACUGGACCACAACUGACGCUGAGGCGCGAAAGCUAGGGGAGCAAACAGG
rnacentral:rRNA from 1 species